rnacentral:lncRNA from 1 species
AAAUAUUUUUUAUAACAAAAUAUUAUAAAAGAGCAUCAUAAUAAAUUUUAGAUAUUAUUAAAUAUUAAAAUUAUAAUAGUGAAGCAAAAAUUAUUCUAGUCAUAUAUAUUUAAUAUGAGUAAAAAAAAAGAAGAUAAAAAUAUAAAAAAAUAUUAUAAAAAAAAAGAAGUUAAAAGAGAGAUAUCUAAUUCAGAUUGAGGAGAG